rnacentral:rRNA from 1 species
UACGAAGGGGGGCUAGCGUUGUUCGGAAUUACUGGGCGUAAAGCGCACGUAGGCGAAUAUUUAAGUCAGGGGUGAAAUCCCGCAGCUCAACUGCGGAACUGCCUUUGAUACUGGGUAUCUUGAGUAUGGAAGAGGUAAGUGGAAUUCCGAGUGUAGAGGUGAAAUUCGUAGAUAUUCGGAGGAACACCAGUGGCGAAGGCGGCUUACUGGUCCAUUACUGACGCUGAGGUGCGAAAGCGUGGGGAGCAAACAGG